UGUUGUCACUCACACACAGUUAGGCCUGUCGUACAGUGUACUCUUGCACAAACAGUCUGUGUUAUUUCAUCGCCCUGACUCGCGCCGGUGAGACAGUGAGCGUUACGUAUUGGGCCCAACCAAAUAUAAGUGGCCGUCUUCACAUUGAGAUGCCACAUCUGGUGCGCGGCUGCUGCGUAAUCCCUGAGCGAUCUUUCAGACGGGCUGCCGUCUGCCGCCAAAGAAAUAUCUCCAGGCGAAUGGCCCUUCCUUCGAGUCCCAGACGGCCACAUACAAGUGGUGACGCACAGGGUCAGAGGAGUUGCUCACCUUGAGAUCCGUGAAUGUGGAAGGCCCAUUCACGCUCAGCGUUACGUACGGAUCCAGCUACGAAAGGAGCCUUCUGUCUCUGUUUUGCGAUCAUUUUGUCCGUAUUUCCACAAAACUUAUGGACACGAACCAAACAGAGCAGUACCACUGGAAACCAUGGGGGGCAGUGUUGCUGUUAAUACCUGAUACGUAGCUCUAUUGAGACGCGAAGAAGACAUAACAGUGGUGGAAAUUCUCUCUCCUCCAGAUGUGAUAUAUUUAAGGCAAAUUCUGGCGCUGGAACUGGAAAUUGCUCAUGUUUUACCAACUAACGUUUACUGGUAAGCGCAUGCGGACAUAGUUAUGUCGCGCAAAGGUGAUAA